AACGAACGCUGGCGGCAUGCCUAACACAUGCAAGUCGAACGAAGUCUUCGGACUUAGUGGCGCACGGGUGCGUAACGCGUGGGAAUCUGCCGUUGGGUGCGGAAUAACUUCUCGAAAGGGAUGCUAAUACCGCAUAAUGUCGUAAGACCAAAGAUUUAUCGCCCAAGGAUGAGCCCGCGUAAGAUUAGCUAGUUGGUGGGGUAAAAGCCUACCAAGGCGACGAUCUUUAGCUGGUCUGAGAGGAUGAUCAGCCACACUGGGACUGAGACACGGCCCAGACUCCUACGGGAGGCAGCAGUGGGGAAUAUUGGACAAUGGGCGCAAGCCUGAACCAGCCAUGCCGCGUGCAGGAAGAAGGCCCUCUGGGUUGUAAACUGCUUUGAUAGGGAACAAAUGCCACUUGCGAGUGGAGCUGAGUGUACCUAUAGAAUAAGCACCGGCUAACUCCGUGCCAGCAGCCGCGGUAAU
rnacentral:rRNA from 1 species